GUGGGUAUACUCGUCCUCCUCUUCGUGCUCGUCCUCGUCGUCACCAUCGAGGGCGUCUGCAAGCGCCGCUCCUCCUCCUGAUUCCGCCGCGGUCGCUAGCCCUAAUGCGCGGGGGCCUCCUCGUCCUGCUCCUCCUCACCGCGGCCGUCGCCGGCGGCGGCGGCCACGAGGGCUCCUCCUCCUGCCCCUUCCACGCCCACGACAAGCCCCACGAUGAUCACCACCACGGCCACGGCCACGGCCACGGCCACAGCUGCGGCGGCGGCGGGGACGACUCCCACCACGUGCACCAUCAUCACCAUGGGCAUGGGCAUGGCCAUGACGGCGGGAUCCAGCGGCGGCUUCUCCCCGAGGAGCUCGCGGAGGAGGCGGAUCUCGAGCUCGACUCCUUCGGCGAUCACCACCACCACCACCACCAUCACCAUGAACACCACCACCACGACCACCACCAUGGCCACGGCGACUUCCAGGCCGAGUUAUCACCCUUGGGUAUGUGGCUGAGUGCCAUGGGAUGCUCGCUUCUGGUCAGCAUGGCGUCGCUCGUCUGCCUCGUCCUGCUCCCAGUAAUCUUCUUCCAGGGGAAGCCGUCCAAGACCAUGGUGGAUUGCCUUGCCAUCUUCGGGGCAGGUGCGAUGCUUGGGGAUUCAUUUCUUCAUCAACUGCCACAUGCCUUUGGUGGAGGGCAUUCUCAUACACAUGAUCAUCAGAAUCAUAAUCAUUCUCAUGAGCAUUCACAUGCACACUCUCUGGAAGAUCUUUCUAUUGGUUUGUCUGUUCUAUUUGGCAUUGUGUUUUUCUUUAUUGUUGAGAAGAUUGUGAGGUAUGUGGAAGACAAUUCUCAGAAAGGGGCUCAUGGCAUGGGCCACCAUCAUCACCAUCAUAAACGACACGAUAGGAGCGACAAGGCCAAGUUGAAUCACGCAGAAAAGGAUCAUGAGGAUAAAGGCGUAAAUCAAGCAGAAAAGGAACCUUCGCAUGAUGGUGCAAUUGAGAAAACAGAUGGUGUAACUCGUGCUGAUUCAAAAUCUGCAAUCCGUAAGAGGGGCUUAUCUUCUGGUUCCAAUUCCGCUGAUAGAGAGCCUGUCAAUUCUGAAAGUGACCCUGCCCCUAACAAAGCAUUAUCAAGUGAAGAUUCCUCUGUUUCCAAUUCGAAUAUGGUGUUCGGCUACCUCAACCUUUUCUCAGAUGGUGUUCAUAACUUUACUGAUGGGAUGGCCCUAGGGAGUGCUUUUCUGCUACAUGGUUCUGUUGGAGGAUGGUCGAGAACUCUAUUUCUGCUUGCACAUGAACUUCCUCAAGAGGUCGGAGAUUUUGGUAUCCUGGUGCGCUCAGGAUUCACUGUAACUAAAGCCCUAUUUUUCAAUUUUCUCUCUGCGUUGGUUGCUCUUGCUGGAACAGCACUGGCAUUGUCUUUGGGAAAAGAUCCAGGGCAUUCUUCUUUGAUUGAGGGAUUCACUGCUGGUGGCUUUAUUUAUAUUGCUGUUGCUGGAGUCCUCCCAGAGAUGAAUGAUCAGAAAACAACCGUCAAAAGCUCGAUGAUUCAGUUGGUUUCCCUGACAAUGGGAAUGCUGGUUGCCCUCGGCAUAUCUCUAGUAGAAUGAUGACGGAAUUUCUGGUUGCAGCUUUAGGGCCUAUUGUACUUAAGCCAAGCGGGUAAUUCUUGAACAGCUCCAGCCUAUUUCAGAGAAGCUAAACUGUAAGUGAAGCCCUUUUUUUUAAUAUAGGGAAGAUGAUUAUAUCUUCGGUUUCUGCUCCACGGAUGCACUCAGCCACAGAGUAAGGUAAGGCAUUCGAGACAAUGUUUAAUCAGGUAGCUCGGCACAGUGGCACCAUCUCUAAAGAUUUCAUUGUUCUCCAAGUUCGAAUGAUGGCAAGAAUAACAAGCAUCACUACUCACUAGUAGAUAUGAGUACCUCUUACAAUAAAACACAUCCCUGUUGGCAUCAACGGUAGAUGUGAGUAUGUGACCCAUGACAGAAUUAGUGGUAAGCACUGAAUGGAACCAUGGAAGUGCUGCGUUCAUGGGCGUCUCAGGCUCUGAGUCUGCCAUCUUGAUUCCAGACAUCGCCUUUCUAGUUUUUCUAGUUUCUGCACUGCUCCAAUAGUAACUUCCCACAUGGAACUGAUCACUGAUGAAGCAGACCGUUCGGUAAAUCGACGGUGGUCACCCACCGGCGUCACCGGCAGGCUCGACCGGGAGAUAUGCCGAUGGUCCUCCUCCCCCACCGGUUGAUCUACCUCAGGUACAGUGCUGUCUCCCAACACAUAAAUGUUGUGCAGGGGUAGAGAGCCCAUGGCAGAGAACGGAUAUGAAGGAUCUCCAAUAAUUGCGUGUGUCGUCAGGGGGGAGGGGGGCAACAGCAACAUGGUGGUCACGUUCUCGUGGAUCCAAAACUCAAAUAUAGGUAUAGACGCCAAAAGAACAAUGAAAUGUGUCCUUCAACCUUACUCUAUUUUAGCCUCACUUUUUUUUAAGUGCUUAGAGCAUCUUUAAGAGAGUUAUCAAAAUUGGCUCUCAUAUAUUCAUAUAAAGAUCAGUCUCUCCAUAAUACUCUCUCCAUCUCUUUCUUCACACUCCAACUGACUCCAUCCCACUCUCCAUGUUCUAAUGGACAUAUUUAUAAGGGUUAUGAUUUAAUCCAAAUAAGUUGUAACAGUAAUGGAUUGUAGAUGCUUUGAUGAA